UCCCUGGUGGACUAGUGGCUAGCGUGCGGCGCUCUCAUCACCACGGCCCAGGUUCGAUUCCAAGUCAGGGAA